UGCUACAGCCAUUUCUCCCUGCAGCGCAAGAGCGGUUAUUCACUGAAGCUAAGCAGCGCUAAGCUGGGUCAGUACCUGGAUGGUUGACCACAAGGAAAAACUAGGUUGUUGUUGGAA
ensembl:rRNA 5S_rRNA 5S ribosomal RNA